UGCAAUCAGCUUGUGCACCUGCAUAGUGAGU
rnacentral:piRNA from 1 species